AACAGGCUAGCUUAGUUGGUAGAGCUGAGACUCUUAAUCUCAGGAUUGUGGGUUCAGGCCCCAUGUUA
rnacentral:tRNA from 1 species